AGUUCGGCUGGAUCGGUGACAGGUGCUGCAUGGCUGUCGUCAGCUCGUGUCGUGAGAUGUUGGGUUAAGUCCCGCAACGAGCGCAACCCUUGUCCUUAGUUGCCAGCAUUAAGUUGGGCACUCUAAGGAGACUGCCGGUGUUAAACCGGAGGAAGGUGGGGAUGACGUCAAGUCCUCAUGGCCCUUAUGUCCAGAGCUACACACGUGCUACAAUGGCCGGUACAAAGGGCUGCAAUACCGCAAGGUGGAGCGAACCCCAAAAAGCCGGUCUCAGUUCGGAUUGGAGUCUGCAACUCGACUCCAUGAAGUUGGAAUCGCUAGUAAUCGCGGAUCAGCAUGCCCGCGGUCCGAAUACGUUCCGGCCUU
rnacentral:rRNA from 1 species